rnacentral:lncRNA from 1 species
GAGUGCCAAGGAAAUGUUUAUGUGGAGGAGGAUUACACGGUGGAGGUAGAAGAAGAGAAGAAGAAACACAGUUUGCUUGAGAAACUUCACCGAUCAAAAAGCAACAGCUCUAGUUGCUCUGUAAGUACAAUUUACUUGGUUUUUUUAAAUAAUUCACAUAUUCGAUCUAUUAUUAUUGAGACCGGUCCAUAGGAAUUCAACUCUCAUGUUCGUACUCCUUUCUAAUUUUUAUGUCUCAUUUGAUGUAUUUAUGUAAGGUAUAUAAAUUUUUUAUCUAUUUACAUAAUUAACUAUAAAAAAAAAAUUAUAUCUGCAGUCACACUAUAUAUAUAUAUAUAUAUAUAUAUAUAUAUAUAUAUAUAUAUAUCGGAAAUGAUAGAAGAUGAGAUAAUAAAUUUCGACGCAAUCCAUAGUCAUACUCGAUGAAACGCAAAAUAGUUUUGCUGAUCAAAUACUAAAGGUUUUAUAAAUACCUGAUAGUUUUUGGUAUUUAGUUAACACACCUAUUCAUCGCACAUAUAUAAUGUUUUUCACUGUCAUUGAGUUGAUGUAUGCAUGUAAAUAAUGAGCUUUGCUUUGCCAAGUCUACCCUUCAUUUCUUUCAAUUGGAAAUAUCCUUAUAAGAACUCAAGUUCUAAGUUAUCCGUGCAAUAUUUACCCAUUUUUUAAAUUCAUUUGUUGUUAUUUUUUGUGUAGCUGUGUUUUUUAAUAAAUAUUUUGGUGGAAAAUAUAUAUGCAGUCAAGUGAUGAGGAAGAAGUUGAAGAGGGAGGGGAGAAGAAGAGUUUGAAGGAUAAGAUCAAAGAGAAGAUUCACAAGGAAAAGAAAGAGGACACAAGGGAUUAUGAGGAUCAGAAGGAGGGCUUGGUAGACAAGAUCAAGGACAAGAUACAAGAGCACCACCAGAAGAAGUCAGAAGAAGAAUAUGUAAUCCCUUCUCCGUCAGCCGAGUAUGCCACCACGGGUUAUGAGGAGAAGGAGGGCUUGGUAGACAAGAUCAAGGACAAACUACACGAACACCACCAUAAGAAGUCAGAAGAAGAAUAUGUGAUCCCUCCUCCGGCAGCCGAGUAUACCGCCACCGGUUAUGAGGAGAAGGAGGGCUUGCUAGACAAAGUAAAGGACAAGUUACACGAACACCACCACAAGAAGUCAGAAGAAUAUGUGAUCUCUCCUCCAGCAACCGAGUAUGCCUCCAGGGAUUAUGAGGAGAAGGAGGGCUUGGUAGAUAAGAUCAAGGACAAGCUACAUGAACACCACCGUAAUAAGUCGGAAGAAGAAUAUGUUAUUCCUCCUCCAGAAACUGAGUAUACUGCCACGGGUUAUGAGGAGAAGGAGGGAUUGGUAGACAAGAUCAAGGACAAGCUACAUGAACACCACCGCAAGAAGUCAGAAGAAGAAUAUGUGAUCUCUCCUCCAGCAGCCGAGUAUGCCGCCACGGAUUAUAAGGAGAAGGAGGGCUUGGUAGACAAGAUCAAGGAAAAGAUACACGAACACCACAAGAAGAAGUCAGAAGAAGAAUAUGUGAUCGCUCUUUCGGUUACAGAGUAUGACGCCACGGAUUAUGAGGAGAAGGAGAGCUUGGUAGACAAGAUCAAGGACAAGAUACACGAACACCACCAAAAGAAGUCAGAAGAAGAAUAUGUGAUCCCAACCGAGUAUGUCGCCACGGGUUAUGACGAGAAUGAGGGUUUGGUAGACAAGAUCAAGGACAAACUGCAUGAACACCACCACAAAAAGUCAGAAGAAGAAUAUGUGAUCCCUCCUCCAGCAGCCGAGUAUGCCGCCACAGGUUAUGUGGAGAAGGAGGGCUUCGCAGACAAGAUCAAGGACAAGUUAUACGAACACCACCACAAGAAGUCGGAAGAAGAAUAUGUGAUCCCUCCCCCAGCAGCCGAGUAUUCAGCCACAUGUUAU